rnacentral:tRNA from 1 species
UGGGGGGUCGUCUAACGGUAGGACAUAGGACUUUGAAUCCUAGUAUGAAGGUUCGAUUCCUUCCCCCCCAGCCA